rnacentral:tRNA from 2 species
GCGGGUGUGGCGGAACUGGUAGACGCACUGGAUUUAGGUUCCAGCGCCGCAAGGCGUGGAGGUUCGAUUCCUCUCACCCGCACCA